rnacentral:misc_RNA from 1 species
AGCAGCCGCGGUAAUUCCAGCUCCAAUAGCGUAUAUUAAAGUUGUUGCAGUUAAAAGCUCGUAGUUGAAUUUCGGGAUCAAAGGAUCGGUCAUGCCUUGGUAUGUACUGGUUUUAUUGGUUCUCACCUUCUAAAGAACCAUAAUGUCAUUCAUUUGAUGUUAUGGGGAAUUAGGACUGUUACCUUGAAAAAUUAGAGUGUUUAAAGCAGGCUUACGCUUGAAUACAUUAGCAUGGAAUAAUGAAAUAGGACAUCAGAUUCUAUUUUGUUGGUUUCUAGGAUCGAUGUAAUGAUUAAUAGGGAUAGUUGGGGGCAUUAGUAUUCAAUUGUCAGAGGUGAAAUUCUUGGAUUUAUUGAAGACUAACUACUGCGAAAGCAUUUGCCAGGGAUGUUUUCAUUAAUCAAGAACGAAAGUUAGGGGAUCGAAGACGAUCAGAUACCGUCGUAGUCUUAACCAUAAACUAUGACCGACUAGGGAUCGGAUGAUGUUAAUUUUAUAAUUGACUCU